GCUGGGAUGGUCUAGUGGUAAGAUUCCGGGAGAGCAUGCACUGGAUCCCCCAACCGCGGAUGUCGGGCACCGCAGACAGGUGCGGGUGCCAGCCACAGCGGGGAGAUUCAGUGCAUGCGAUGCAGUACUGUGCGCAGUAUCUUCACUGCCGGAGACGCCGGUUCGAUUCCGGCUCUCAGCA